rnacentral:lncRNA from 1 species
AUGUGUGUCAUCCAUAAAGGCCCCUCCAGCGUUUCUGGUCUCUGGCUCUGUGAACAUUCUCAGAAUGUUCUGAAUGUUCUCAGAACAUUGGAAGGAAUAGGUGAUAGUGCAAGAAGUAGCAGCACAGGCCCAACUGACCAGGGACGCUUAAAGGCCGAGCUGGCCCUGGGAAAAAUGAUGAGUGACUUCUAUUUUUUGCUAUCAUUCCAAUUUCUCUCUUCAGCAGUGUCACUCCUGCCCAAGCUUCAGGGUCCUAGCAUAUUUUGUCCCCCUCACUUAAAUGUCAUUUUAUAAAAAGAUGUGCCUAACUCAUUUUUUCUAAAGAGUAUAUAUAACUGGUCAAGCUAAAUGUACUUGCCUUCAUGGGAGUGUCAACCUUUACUGCAAGACAAGGUCUUCAGCAGUCAAAGAUCCCUGUCUCAAGUUGUGGCAGAAUAUAUUUACCAAGAUGGCAUGAGGAAGAUCUCCCCUUCCGUGUGUUCCUGUGACGAUGUAACAGUGUAACAUCAACACUCCUCUCACUGAGAGGUGAGGUCUAUAUCCUCUCCACUGAUUCUAUUGGGUCACCUGAGACUAUGAAAGAAGUGGCACUACGUGACUUCUGAUGCUAGGUCAUAAAAAGCAAGAGUUCCCACCUGGUCCUGUUGGGACUUUCAUUCUCGGAGCCUAGCCACCAUGCAGCAAGGAAGCCUAACCCACAGGAGAGACCAUGUGUUGGUGCUCCAGCCAACAGUUCCUGCUGAGGUCCCAGCCAACAGCCAGCAUCAACCACCAACAAGAAGAAGAGCCCUAGGGAUCCUGAUAACCUAGAGUGACAUCAUGUUGAAAACCUGGAAUGUGAAAUCACCUAUCUUCAAGCUGUUAGGCACUAGGAGAAGGAGCUGGAGAGCUGGAGAUUAGCAAAAAGCUCAGCAGCCACAAAGACGGGUUGACUAGGAAAUACAGGGUAUUUAAAAUAAAUUUCAUGUAUGUACAUUGCAUUCAAGCUGCUCCUGCUUUAUUUUUGAGAUCUAAAUAUUUAUGAAAUGUUUAUCAAUAAACACUGGCAAUGUGUACUUUUUUAUCUGGUUACCUGGGAGUUCGAAUGAUCUUUUUCUUUAAAAGAUACCCAUCAUAUAUAUUUUAUAUACACGUAUGUAUCUUUGAUAUAUAGGAAUCAAAA